rnacentral:lncRNA from 1 species
GGGGGACCGUCCGCGGGAAUUUGAAGUGGCUGACUGGGCUGCCGGGAGACAGAGGCUCGGGGUCGCGUGCACUUGGCGGCCGGGGAGGUGCCAGUGCCCGGGAGGAAGGCAAGAAAACUGAGGCACAGACAGAUUGUCACACAGCCAGUGAGGUGUUGAUGCCCUCUAAGGCUCAUGCGCGUCAGUGUUUGUGAACAGUAGUAGACCCUUGCCUGCUUUGAUCAUCUCAUCUGUGGGAUCAGGUUUCUUUCAAAAUGAAGAUUCACUCAGUGGUUGUAGCUGUCUUGAUAAGCCAGGUUCUAGUUUACGAAGUUUUAUUCCAGAGGGAAAAAAGCCACUUCACCUAGAAAUCUUCCAAACAAAUCAACUUUUGCUCUGUGAGUAAUCCAGGCUAUCAAGACUACAUUUUAGGUGAGUAGGUUCUCUUUUUUGUUUCUUUUCUGGGUUUUUUUUUUUUUUUUUUGGUGAUAGAGUCUUGCUCUGUCACCUAGGCUGGAGGGCUGUGGCAUGAUCUUGGCUCACUGCAACCUCUUGCUUCUCAGCUCAAGCCAUCCUCCCACCUCAGCCACUUGAGCAGCUGGGACUACAGGCAUGCACCACUACACCUGGCUAAUUUUUGUAUUUUUUCUAGAGAGAGGGUUUUGCCAUAUUGCCCAGGCUGGUCUCGAACUCCUAAGCUCUAGUGAUCUGCCCACCUAGGCCUCCCAAAGUGCUGGGAUUACAGGCGUGAGCCACCGUGCCCGGCCUUUUUUGCCCCUUUUAUCUUUUUAGUUUAUAAGUAGAUUGCCUAUCUCA